UUCCUGGCAUGAGACAAUGGACCCCAGGUAUUUAUCCCAGACAGUGCAGCCAUUUCAUCUGGGGGCUUGUCCAGGAUCAGAACAAAAUACAGAAUCAUCGGAGUGGUGAGUAUGGAGUGACCAUCAAAUCUGACCCUUAAUCUCAAGGCUCUCAACCUCCAUUUUAAAAUACUUCAGGCUGGGCACAGUGGCUCACGCCUAUAAUCCCAGCACUUUGGGACGCUGAGGUAGGAAGAUCACCUGAGGUCAGGAGUUUGAGACCAGCCUGGAUUAGACUAGACCUAAAUCCCUGUAAACAAUAUUAAAAGAAAGAAUUUUUAUUAAUAACAUCUUUGACAAUGUAAUAGGCCUAUGAGAUUUGUGAAAGUUUCAUGAGAGUAGAGAUCAAAACUUUCCUUUCUCUAUUUUAUUUUCUAAGGCUACCAAAAUGAUGGCAUAUCAUGUGUGCUCAACACACAUUUAUUGGUUAAAGGAAUGAAUACAU
rnacentral:lncRNA from 1 species